AUGGCGGCAACUGCCGAGAGCGCCGUCGAGUCGCUGUUGGGCCGCCUCUCGUCGAUGCUCCUCGACGAGGCACAGCUGCUGAAGGGAGUGAAGGGUGACGUGCAGUUCAUCAAGGAUGAGACGGAGAGCAUGAACGGCUUCCUCCUGGACGUUGCCGGUGGCGGGCACCAGGUCCGGGCGUGGACAAAGCAGGUCCGGGAGGUCGCCUGCGACUCCCAGAACUGCAUCGACCGCUACGUGCAGACCUUGGGUGCCAGCCGUCCCUCGGCGGGCCUCCUGGGCUCGCUCCAGCAGGUGCCGAAGCUGGUAAAGACCAUGCCGGAUCGCUACCGCAUUGCCAAGCAGAUCCGGGAGCUCAAGGGCCGGGCGCGCGAGGUGGGGGAGCGGCGGCAGAGGUAUGGCGUCAAAGCUCCGAUGCAGAGCAGUACAGGCGCCAAUGGAGCGGGAGAUGGCGCCACCAAGACCAAGCUGGGGGAUGCGGAGGAUGCACGGAGGCGCCGUGUUUUAGCUGAUGUUGAUGACUUGUUGAACAACGACGCGCGAGAGCUCAUGGCUUGGCUCAUCAGAAGUGAACGCCAUGACCAUACUCCGCCAGUCUAUCAGCAUGUCCCUAAAUUCUUCAAGAACAUGUACGCCUCCACGUCCAAGAUGGAUGACCUGCUGCCAGAGUAUCACAGGAUGUUUAGGGGGAUAGUUGGUGAUGAAAACCCAGAGAACAUAGCUGAUGCUGCUGCCGUCUUGACCAAAGCAGGCAUAGAUAUGACGAAACACGAGAUUCGUAUGGUUGGCAGUGUGGUGAAAAAGGUGCUGGGACAAUUAGCCCUUGGCCACAAAUCUCGACAAGAUGAAAAGAAAGGAAAAAAACCAGCAGCAAAACCAGAAGGAAGCACCCCUCAAGAAGAUGGAAAGAGCGGGAAAGAGCCAGAAAUUGCUAACCACUUCAUGCUUGCCAUGACAUGA
rnacentral:rRNA from 1 species